rnacentral:rRNA from 1 species
GGGUCAGUAGGCUGGUCGUGCCACCGGUACGUACUGGUCUCACUGAUUCCUCCUUCCUGAAGAACCGUAAUGCCAUUAAUUUGGUGUUGCGGGGAAACAGGACUGUUACUUUGAAAAAAUUAGAGUGUUUAAAGCAAGCUAACAGUUGAAUACAUUAGCAUGGAAUUAUGAAAUAGGACGAUCGAUCCUAUUUUGUUGGUUUCUAGGAUUGACGUA